GAUGAAGAACGCAGCGAAAUGCGAUAAGUAAUGUGAAUUGCAGAAUUCAGUGAAUCAUCGAAUCUUUGAACGCACAUUGCGCCCGCCAGUAUUCUGGCGGGCAUGCCUGUUCGAGCGUCAUUUCAACCAUCAAGCCCCCCGGCUUGUGUUGGGGACCUGCGGCUGCCGCAGGCCCUGAAAAGCAGUGGCGGGCUCGCUGUCACACCGAGCGUAGUAGAUCUCAUCUCGCUCAGGGCGUGCUGCGGGUUCCGGCCGUUAAACCACCUUCAUAACCCAAGGUUGACCUCGGAUCAGGUAGGAAGACCCGCUGAACUUAAGCAUAUCAAUAAGCGAGGA
rnacentral:misc_RNA from 1 species